CCCAGACUCCUACGGGAGGCAGCAGUGGGGGAUAUUGCACAAUGGGGGGAACCCUGAUGCAGCGACGCCGCGUGGGUGAAGGAGCGUUUCGGCGCGUAAAGCCCUAUCGGCAGGGAAGAAGGAGGACGGUACCUGACUAAGAAGCCCCGGCUAACUACGUGCCAGCAGCCGCGGUAAUACGUAGGGGGCAAGCGUUAUCCGGAUUUACUGGGUGUAAAGGGGGCGCAGACGGCAGCGCAAGCCAGGAGUGAAAGCCCGGGGCCCAACCCCGGGACUGCUCUUGGAACUGCGCGGCUGGAGUGCAGGAGGGGCAGGCGGAAUUCCUGGUGUAGCGGUGAAAUGCGUAGAUAUCAGGAGGAACACCGGUGGCGAAGGCGGCCUGCUGGACUGUAACUGACGCUGAGGCUCGAAAGCGUGGGGAGCAAACAGGAUUAGAUACCCCCGUAU
rnacentral:rRNA from 1 species